GGUGAGUGACAAAUCUGCCAAAGGCAGAUUUGAACGCUGCUUGCAGCGGCCCCAGCGGGGCGAGGCACACGCAAGUGUGCCGAGUAUCGCAGCCAACACACAUGCAAC
rfam:Erwinia carotovora subsp. atroseptica SCRI1043, complete genome